rnacentral:piRNA from 1 species
UGAUACUUGAAUUUGGCACAGCUCUGCUU